CGGAUCGGAGUCUGCAACCCGACUCCGUGAAGCUGGAUUCGCUAGUAAUCGCGCAUCAGCCAUGGCGCGGUGAAUACGUUCCCGGGCCUUGUACACACCGCCCGUCAAGCCAUGGGAGCCGGGAGUGCCUGAAGGCCGUGACCGCAAGGAGCGGCCUAAGGUAAAACUGGUGACUGGGGCUAAGUCGUAACAAGGUAAC
rnacentral:rRNA from 1 species